UGCGAGUGAAGCGGGAAAAGCUCAAAUUUAAAAUCUGGUGGUCUUUGGCCAUCCGAGUUGUAAUCUAGAGAAGUGUUAUCCGCGCUGGACCGUGUACAAGUCCCCUGGAAUGGGGCGUCAUAGAGGGUGAGAAUCCCGUCUUUGACACGGACUACCAGGGCUUUGUGAUGCACUCUCAAAGAGUCGAGUUGUUUGGGAAUGCAGCUCAAAAUGGGUGGUAAAUUCCAUCUAAAGCUAAAUAUUGGCGAGAGACCGAUAGCGAACAAGUACCGUGAGGGAAAGAUGAAAAGAACUUUGGAAAGAGAGUUAAACAGUACGUGAAAUUGUUGAAAGGGAAACGCUUGAAGUCAGUCGCGUCUGCCAGGGAUCAACCUUACUUUUGUGAGGCGUACUUCCUGGUUGAUGGGUCAGCAUCAGUUUUGGUCGCUGGAUAAAGGUCAGAGAAAUGUGGCACCUUCGGGUGUGUUAUAGUCUUUGAUCAGAUACAGUGGCUGGGACUGAGGAACUCAGCGCCGCAAGGCUGUCUUAGGAUGCUGGCAAAAUGGCUUUAAUCGACCCGUCUUGAAACACGGACCAAGGAGUCUAACAUGCCUGCGAGUGUUUGGGUGGAAAACCCGAGCGCGUAAUGAAAGUGAAAGUUGGGAUCCCUGUCAUGGGGAGCACCGACGCCCAUACCAGAAGUUUACGGACGGAUAUGCGGUGGAGCAUGUAUGUUGGGACCCGAAAGAUGGUGAACUAUGCCUGAAUAGGGCGAAGCCAGAGGAAACUCUGUGGAGGCUCGUAGCGAUUCUGACGUGCAAUCGA
rnacentral:rRNA from 1 species